rnacentral:lncRNA from 1 species
GGCGACCAUCUCUUCGGAAGCCUAACGAUCCAGCACAGGUCCCAGCCCUGCGCAGCCGCCCGCCAAGCCGCCAGAGGACCAGCCGAACGCCAAAGGCUAGGAGUGGACGAUUGCAGGAAGUUUCCAACUCGCCGACUUCGCCCCACUCCACUGGCUCCGGCUUGGCGGUCCCCGGCUUCGGGGUGCCCUCCGUCCCUCCCCCUCGCGUCGUCGCGUUCUCCCUUGGCAUAACCCCCCGCCGCGGGGCCGCAGACCCCCUAAGCGCUUCGUGCGCUCUCCGCGCCCUGCCCACCGGCCCCGACCCCUCCCCCGACCGGACGGGAGAGGUGGGAAGUUUGGGGGCACCCGCUGUGGGUGUCCCAUUUGCGGGGCUGGGCUCCGGGGAGCCGGCGCGCGGCGCCCGCUCCCUGCCCGCCAGCCGUUUGGGAGCUCAGGCGCGGGCAGCCGCUUUUGUUCCCGGGAAGGGCGGAGCUGCGUCCCGGGGAGACACGCGUUGCAGCCGGCAGCGUAGUUGCUCCCCGCUGGCCGGCCGCUCCGGGAGGGCCCCGCAGCGGAGGGUCGGGGCUGGGGCGGGCUGGGGAGGGGGCCCAGGGCUGGGGCCGGUUCGGCCUCCCGGGUGGCGCGCGGGCCGAGGAGCUAGGAGGACCGCCGCGCCGCUUGUCCUUUGGAUAAACCUUGGCGGUUCCUCCUCUGGUGUCCGUGGACCCCGCCGCGGCGUUCUCCAGGGCCGCGGACCUUUGCCCACCGGUUGCGCCCGCUGCCCCGGGCAGAAAGGACCCCCCUCCUCCCGGACCGAGCCCCGAGCCCCAUGGAGCAGGCAAGGGCCAGAGUCCCGGGGCCGAGGCCCGACCGGCGGACGCUCCGGGACCUUUUCCCGCCCCCGAGGGUGCAUGUCCGGCCGGGGCCGGGACUGGCUGGGAAACCGAGGCCAGAAGAGGUCGCAAUCCAGCGAGGAAUCGGACUUUCCUGCAUUCCUACAGCAAAUCCUGGUUGGUCAUGGUGGAGACUGUAAAGCAAUCAUUCUCAAGGAGGGGCUUUUUCACGCAGUAUGCCUGGAGAGAGGCUGCACCACCACCGCGUUCCUCCCCGAUGAGUCCAGUGAGCCACGGCUGCGGGCUACGGUGUUGUGGUGCUCGGGUGUGUUGGAAGGAAAUGGUUCCCGAGGCAUGCCAGCUAGCACCUGACCUACAAGAUUCCAGCUGUUUAACUGCCAUCACAAAGGCUCAUGAUGUGUUGACAGUAUUUCUGCCUGCUGCUCUGAAAAUUCAAGGAAAUAAAUACCUGACAUUUAUUGAAUGCCAGAAGCUGUUCUAAGAACUUUCUAUGUAUUAUCUAUUUUAGUCAUUAUAAUAUCCUUAUGAAAUAGGCACUUUUAUCCCCAUUUUACAGAUGAAUAAAAUAAGGCACAGAAGGGUUAAGCAACUUUCACAGGUAGAAAGCUGCACAGCCAGGAUUUAAGCCCAAGCUCUUAACCACUGCACUACAUCAAUGCAGCAAAGGCUGAAUGAACCAGAGUAUUUGAUUUACUUAGCUCUUAUGCUGGAAAGAUGGUGAGGCUUUUGCUCAUGGUCUGUAUUCAAGCACAAAUACCAAAAUCAAGGACACCUUUGCAUUGGUGCUCCAUAGGAGGUUUCCUUUUUUGUUGUUUAGAGAGAAGGUCUUACUCUGUUGCCCUGGCUGGAGUGCAGUGGUGCGAUCACAGCUCACUGCAGCCUUGACCUCCAGAGCUCAAGCAAUCCUCCACCUCAGCCUCCUGAGUAGCUGGGACUAUAGGUGCGCACUUCCACACCCAGCUAAUUUUUAAUUUUUUUUUUUUUGUAGAGACCGUCUCCCUAUAUUGCCCAGGUUGGUCUAGAAUUCCUAGGGCUCAAGUGAUCCUCCCGCCUUGGCCUAUUGGGAUUACAGAUAUGAGCCAUGGCACCCAACCUCAGAAGAGGCGCUUUUCUUGAGUUCUGGAAGGGGAUAGGAAUUAAUGUUUUGUUUGUUUGUUUGUUUUUUACUCGUCACAGAAAAGGUUCAAAGAGUAAGAUAAGCAACGUCUCAUAAUGCUGUAGUCUAAUGGACAAGGGCCCUAGCCAUCUGUGCCUGGAUGACUCUUCCUCCCAAUUUUUAAGUGUCAAAAGAUAAUUUAGAAUCUGGCAUUCUGCAUUAGAAAUCUGAACCAGUGGAGCUGUGUGCUGAUUUUCAUCAGCUUAAGUUGUCUUUAUUGUCAGUGGCUUCCUUUCCCCACAGCAGCUUUAUGGAGGCACGUGCCCAGGCAUAUGAGGAGCUUCUGUCCUUUAGUGUAUGUACACCCACAAUGCUGCAGAGAAGAGAAUCAGCAUACUGUUGGGACACAGCAGGUACCACUGCCUUCUGAAGUUUCUAGAGGUGCUAUGCCUUCAUUGUUUUCCUGCACAUGAACAUUAACAUCCACAUCAGGAUCUGGAAACCUUUACAGAAGCUGAAGUUUUAAAAAGAAAAUGAAUGGGAUUUUAUUCAAGAUAAGGAAAGGAUAAGAGUGAAUCAUCAAAUGAAACCAUGAGGCCACUUCACAAAUAUUUUAUCAAAAAACUCACCUGAGAAAACUCAAAGAAUCACAGUAAUAAGCUGUCUAUGCCAUAUUUUUUUUUUCCUUUUUUGAAAAUGCCAAGAAGCUACUACUAAGAAUGUAUUCAAGAGACGGAAGUUCCAAGAUUCAUCACAGGGUCAGGUGGGCUCAACUUAGUUUCCUGGGCCCUCUAUAACACUUCAUGUUCAGAAUUGUCUCCAAAUAAAAGCAAUUUAAGGGAACAUUCAAUAUGGGUGUCUUUGCUGUGCUUGCAGUCUUAAUUCUGUGGACACUGAUAUUCUAUCAAUGGAAAAUUGAGCCUUUAGUGAACUUGAAUACCCUGUUCCCCAAUCACUGCCCAGAGAGCAGUUUCUGAGCAGCCAACAUGUCAGAGGCAGGAAAACAGCAGCUAAAAGGCAAAGGAGAAAAAUGGAAGACACCUGCCUUUACACGUGUAUUUUAAGCUAAAUAACCAUGAUAAAAUAUCACCAACACCCAUUUUUUGUAACUUCUUAAUUGUCCCACAUCAAAGAUAAGUAUGGACAACUGUAAUUGGUUCUUAUAUAUCCCUAAAUUCCUAAUUGAAAUCAAUUCCAAUAAAUCGUUGGUGCUCAGUAGAAAAAUGCAAAAUUUAAAUAUAUAUAUUCAGUAGAAGUUACCUUCAUAACUUGUGGGGCAUUAUCAAAAUAUAAUUGGAAACCCCUCUUUGUAACCAACUAACCAAAUGAUCUUUUCUUAAAGGCACAAAUUAAAAGGUGGCAAAACAACCAUAUAUUUAGUGUGUGGGAUCACAUUCUCCUAAAGAGCAUCAGGAAAUGUAGGUAGAAGUCAAUGUUGUAGCCUAGGUUAGAAGGCCCUGCUUGCUGGGAGUUAACUCUGGUUAUUGGAUUGUGGGGAGGUGUGGCAGGGAAGGUGGUCAGGGGAACACGGGCACUCCAGAAGCUCGGAGCAGCAGCUCAUCAGCUGUGAGGCACCGUCAGCAUCCUUGCGUCCUGUGUGGCUGUGAGGCACCGUCAGCAUCCUCGCGUCCUGUGUGGCUGUGAGGCACUGUCAGCAUCCUCGCGUCCUGUGUGGCUGUGAGGCACCGUCAGCAUCCUCGCGUCCUGUGUGGCUGUGAGGCACCGUCAGCAUCCUCGGUCCUGUGCGGCUGUGAGGCACUGUCAGCAUCCUCGCAUCCUGUGCAGCUGGGCCAGGACAAACUGGCUGAACUGCAGCUCUGCUUGCAGCUUGCUAGAAAUACAACUUGGUAACAACAGGAGAUUGUGGACACACUAUUUUUCGUUAGUUUAUUACAAAACUACAGAUACAAUACACAAAAUUCUAAUUCCGAAAUCCUUCUACAUUUUUU